CUUGGGAGGAUGAGAUGACCAAGGAGGGUCCGCUGGUCCCACCGCUGGGUUUGUUAUCCAUGACUCCGUGCUGGAGCCCACGUGGGCAGUCUUACAACAGGGAGAUCGCCAUGGAUUGUGCAGAUCAUGGCUAACACAGGACAAGUUUCCUCAGACUGAAGGGACGCUCUUGUUUCCAUGGAACCUUUGCGAGGAGGAUUUGGAGAGCAUACCCAAGGCCUCAUGUAUGCUGGGCAAACACUCCAUCACUGAGUUUCACCCCAGCCCUCAAGAGUGUUUUACAUGAACUGCUUGUGAAGAAUGUAUGACUUGACGAGCAGUUGAUCAAUGGCAAUUCUUGUCAUUAUUAUUUUGUUUUAAUUUUCUUCAUACAAGUCAUCUGAUGGAAUGCACAUGAUUAACUUGUUAGAAAAGAGGGUUUUAUCUGCACUUUAAAGGCAGGAAUGCUGAGACUCAGACCUACCAGGUAAAUUACCUACAUCGGCACACUCAGAAAUGCCUAGGAAUUGAACUUAUACAUUCAAGUAUGAAGACAAGUAAGAUUAAGAAAGCUUUGCCCUCCCUGAGCUUUCUAACAUAAUAGGGGCAAACAAGAUCUACUUCAGACCUACACGGAUGUCACACGCACUGUGUAAGUUCUGUGGGAGAACAGGGAAGGGGGCAGUACAUGGAGGGGUCCAGGCAGGCUUCCUGGAGGAGGUGGUGUUUGGGCGGUGUGGGAGAACACGUAGGAAUUCAGUAGGUUUGUAAGGGGCACUGGUGCAGGUCGUAGGAACCUGGGAGGAGCGCUCAGAGGACAGUGACCGGGCUGAGGUGGCUGGAGUAGCUUCUGUAAGUAGAGGCACAUACAGAUGAAGGGCACAGGGCAGUUGAUGAAGACAGGCUCUAAGUGACAGGGGACUGGUGUCCUCCAGAAUUCAUGUGUCCAAAACUUAAUCCUCAAUGUCACGGAGUUGGGGAUGGACUGACCUCGUCUUGGGAGCGCGCUGGCUAUUGAGAGGUUGGGUUUGUUACAGAGGCCAAUCUGGCCUCCUGGUGACCUCUUUCACCUUUUCACUUCCUGCCAUGGAUGACACAGCACCAGGCUCCCCGCCAGAUGCCAGCAUCAGGCUCUGCAGCUUCUCUGAUUCCAGAACCCCAGGCCAACAAUUCCCCCAGCCUCCGGUCUUCUGCCAGUGCAGCAGCCAGGCUUGAUCUCCCCGCUUUUGCCCACUGGAGCCUCCGACACCUGCAGUAGCAACCAAACAGGACUUACUCCUGUCACAGUAAAGGCGCCGCACGGGUGACCAGGAGGCCUGUGAUUUUUUAAGAGGUUAUGAGUGAAACUUAUAGCACAACUUCACUAUCAGAAAAACAUGGAGGACGUGAGAAGCCACUUUGAAGAUAUCAGUGUGCAAUACAACAAGCAUUGUUA